ensembl:lncRNA
AUUUUAAUAGCUCUGUACAUAGUAUUAUACAACUCAACUUCUGCCUAUAGAGUUUCUUCAUUCAGAGAAGCUGCAGUAAGAUAAGCAAUAAACUUGCUCAGAGUUGGCAGUUAAAGAAAAGCUUCAGUAAAAACUACUUAGGGAUUUUCCUCCUACAGCCUAUUUGCCGCAGGAAAAUGUUAUGGGGGAUGACACAGAUGCAGCAUACAUAAGUGCAAUCAUUGCAGCAAUGCACACUGGGGCAGAUGAAGGCAUUUGUCAUGUUUGGGAAAUACAAGUUGCAUUUGCUUGAGAACUUGCUGGUACAGCCAAGAAAGAGGUCGCCCUGGCUCUUGCAUUGGGAGUCCUGAAGGCACCAAACCCUCCACUGCUCUUUAUCCAUCUUUCAAAGGCAUUCACAUGAAAUCAAAGCCAGUUUGUAGCUUAUUACACCUGGCUUUCUCAGUUACCAGCUUUUACCCUGCAGGCCAUGUUUUAAGAGCGCCUGAGAACUAAAAGCCAGUGUCCUGGGUGGGCUGUCAGUCACCACCAGAGACAGCAGCUCCCCAGCCGAACCGAAAUACCUACAGAGCUCUUCUUCCUUGUCCAGAGUACCAAAAGGCUGAAAUGCAAACUCUCACUCCCCCCAAGCCCCCACCCCCUUCCAGAACAUAAGCAAUUCAAUACCCCAGCUUUCCCCCAGCACUAGCCACUCUGUUUCUCGUCUUCCUUUCUAUACAAAGCAGCUGGUCCCUGCAGAUUAACAGGGCCCAGCUGCAUCUGGUCUCCAGCCACUUAACCCCUUCUGAGCUGUUUCCUCACCCGUGCAGAAGAAAACAGGAUUGUCUGCUUUCCAGAAGCCUCCUGGGGCUUGAAGUAAGAGCAUCCCUAUUAGCAAAGACAGUACUUUCCAGAGGGGAUGGGAGUCUGCAUUCACAAGGGUUUCUUCUUACAGCUUGUGGAAUCCUCAGAAACAUGAGCUUUCAGCUCCUGCUCCCACCAAAGAAUUUCCUCGUUGGAAGGCUGCUGUACCCUUUUCUGGCAAUUCUGGUGUGAGACAGCAAUCUGCGUAAUAUCAGUUGUAUUGUCUUCCAAGUGAGCCAUCUAAAGGACGCUCAGGACUCACGUAACUGCAACUGGAGCUGUUCUCCAGCUCCCCGAACAGGCACCCAGACAAGCCUGGACGCCGCCAGUCAUCAUUCCAGACAUGAUGUAGUUUGGUUUUUGCUGUGAUGGAAAGAAACACUUCUCACUGCGUCUGUGUCUCCUCCUUCUAAUGUUUGGAGGAACUGAGGCCAUCCGAAAGCACGAAGCAACAGCUCACAGCUUAGCCCAGCCAUUAAGGCUUUCUGAAAUCUCAGUAGGUGUAGAGAAAUAGCCCACUGCUCUAGCCCACCUUGACUGCAUCCGGUCUCCGGUGGACUUUCCUGUCUUUGACCAAAUUUUAGCAGCUUAACUGUGGGACCCCAGCAGGUUGGCCUGUAUCCUCUGGACCAGAAGGUUUCUUCUAACCUCAUUUGAGCCAGUGUUUUUUCCGCAUGAGAGUCAUGAAAUUCAUUGCUUUAUGAUGUGAUUCUGACCCCAGGAAGCCCCAGAGCUACAGGAGACAGAGACAGCUGUUAGUCUAGCAGAAACUGCCAGGUUUGUGAAGACCUUGUGAUGGACUCAGAACAUCAUCAGAAGCAGAGGGCCCAGGGGAAAGAGCAGACCUUAGCUCAAGUCAGCCUGAAAGGAGAACAAAGAGAGAAGCAGGGAGGAAGAAGAGUUAAAGAGAAGAGAAAACAGCUAAACGUCUAACUGAGCCAAGGAGAUCAGCUGGAGAGUUGCUUGUUUGCACAGGGUGAUAGCUGAGCUGGAUUAGGGCUGGACUGAAUCAAACAUGAGGCAGUACAUUAUAGAAGGAUCCGGUCAAGUUGGGAGGGAAAGAGGCUGAAUACAGGGAUGUGUCAAGUGAAAGGGUAGUACAGAACAUAAAGUUUAGAAACUAAGACAAGCAUUCUUACAAGUGCAGUAUUGUCAUUUUGUCUCUUUUCCUUCCGAUGGUUCUUAUAA